CAAGUCUUAUCGGGGAUCACUCGGUUCGUAGGCGAUGAAAAACGGGCCAAACCCGUAUUUGGCGUGAAUUGCAGACAUAUUGAGCGCUAAAAUUUUGAACGCAAAUGGCACUAACAGGUUUCUAUCUGUUAGUAUGUUCAAUUGAGGGUCUUU
rnacentral:rRNA from 1 species